AAGUCGUAACAAGGUUUCCGUAGGUGAACCUGCGGAAGGAUCAUUAAAGAGAUAGGGUUCUUUUGAGCCCGACCUCCAACCAUUUGUUAAACUACUUUGUUGCUUUGGCAGGCCCGUCCCCUGUAACAGGGGGCCGCCGGGGGCGUUCAUUCGCCUCUGGUCGGUGCUUGCCAGUAGCCAAUCUAAAUUCUUUAUAAUCAUGUCGUCUGAAAUCUUAAUUAUAAAUUUAAUUAAAAA
rnacentral:misc_RNA from 1 species